CGUGACAAUUGUGGGCGUCUUUCAUUACAUAAAACUGUUGAAGAAAAAUGGCUGCACUGACUGUUAAAAUGUAGAUGCAGAUAUGUUGGGAGCAGAGUCAAAAAAGGACAAAGAAAAAUAGAAGAAAUAUGAUGAAAUACAUCGAAAGAACUUGGCAAGAGAAAACUGCAUGGUAUGUGACUUAACACUGUUGCUACAAAAGGGAGAUUAUCACAAAACAAGUUUAGCAACAUAUUACAAACUUCUGUAACUACAGGACCCCUAUUGCUGCAAUAAAUCAACCAGAAUACUGAGCUUUUACAAUGGAUAUACCCUGAUUCUCUCUAAAUUCUGAAGAAUUGUUGACGUCUACAGGGACAGGCUGUAUAUAUAUAAUUUUUGGGGGUUAAUAAUUUCUUUCUUUAUUUGAAACAACAUUACAUUCAUUACUUGACAAGACAUAACUAUAUUCCAAUAAAAAACUAGUAGUUGCCGUAAUACAACUGUAUUACUGACAAAUUAUACAUGCAAAAAUUACACAUAUAGAUCCCUGAGUGAUAAAGGUUGAAGCAAUUCUUAUCGCUAGAAAGUCAUAUUUAUAAAAAUAUAUGAGCAUUAAUGGGGUUCUAACUUUUUUAAUCCAAAAUAACCACAUUCUAACCGUAUUUGAAUUCCAAUUCUCUGUUCUUGCACAGCCUAACUCCAUUUUAUAUUGCCAAAUAAUCUGUUCAUAUAAUCCGUCACAUCGAAGCAAACUGACAGUUUUCCAUUUCCUAGCAACUAUUAAUUUGGCUGCUGUAAUAAUGUCAAGGAUUAUAGGGAGAGAAUUUUUAUGCACAUUAUUGAGAUUAAAGUGUAACAACGCUACCUCUGGAGAUCUAUCCAUCUCUAUAUCACAAAGCGUUUUUAUAAACAAAUACAAAAAGAAAAGUCCUGCGCUCACUCCCAUCACUCCUGGGUGGCAGCAACUACCACAGUACACAUCAGCUCCAAUACAUAUAGUAAAAAACAAAGAAAAAAGUUACCUGCGCUCUCUCCUUAAUCCCUAUGUAUCUUUAAACAAAUGGAGGUCAAUUAGUUAGUUUUUAUAAACAAGAAGACCUCUUCCCAAAAAAGAAUUAUCAGAUGACAAGUCCACCAUAUGUGAAAAAAUUUACCUAAGUACACACCACAUCUCCAGUACUUUGUAUCUGGAUUUAUGCAGUUCUUUAAUUUGGCUAAUGUACUUGGUACCCAAUACCAUCUAUUGUGAAUCUUGUAUUGUAUCUCUCUCAGGUUCAAAGCAUGAAUAUGUUAAGUUAAUACUAGAGAGGACGUCCACUCAUGAGAACAUCUAGACCUAGAUCUUGUCCCCAUUUUCUUUUUGCAGUGUCAUUAUUGCCUUCGCUCAUCUUUGAUAGUAUUUGUACACAUUUUGAGAUGUAUCUUUUAAAAUUAGAUUGAUUACCGGUAUAUAGUGAUUCUAAAUAUUCCACUGACUCUAAAUUACUACUUGGGAUAUACUUAGACAUUUCACCAUUUAUUCUUAAAUAAUUAAAUAAUUCUCUCCCUGGUAGAUUGUUUUCACUAACCAAUGUAGAGAAUGGUUUGACCUUAUUUACAGUAAUGAAAUCUUUUAUGUUAUAUAUUCCACAACUAUACCAGUUAUUUAGAUUUAUAUUAUCAAUAUGUCCUUCAAGAAUUUUUAAGGUAAGGAAUCCAGCAGUUUUUUUUGUUAAAUUUAGUUUUUUCUUUAUAUGAUUCCAUUCGUCCAAUAUAUCCAAUAGAGAUUUUAGCCCUGAAGAACUGUUUUGACUUUCUCUCUGCAAUACUAAUGACCAGAAUAGAGAUGGUAAGUUCUUAUUUGAGGAUAGAUCUUGUUCUAUUAGAAACCACUUCUCUUUUUGGGAACAACUUUUCUCUGUAAUCAUGGCAUGCAUAAGUCUACUAGCUUUAUAAUAUUUAAAAAAUAUCUGGCAUACUCAGACCACCUUGUUUAGUGGGUUUCUACCCGGACCAUUUAAAAAUAGAGAAUGAAUUAUUUUAAGCCAAUAUUCUGAGCAUUUUAGAGGAAUUAACCUGAAGAAAUAGAACUAGGUAAAAUGUAAGCAUGUACUAAAUUUAUCCUUCCCGACCAAGAGAAAUUCAGCUUUUUCCAACCAAUCAAUUUUUUAUUCGAUUGUUGUAUAAACUUACGCCACUUUUGUUUGCAAAUUUCUAGUUAAAAAUACUGAUUUAUCUAGAUUAAUUUUGUAGCCGGAAUACUUAGCAUAUAAAUCUAUUUCUGAAAUUAAUGCUUUCAAUGAAUGUUCAGGGUCUUCUAAAGAUAAUAAUAGAUUAUCUGCAUAUAAGUUCAGCUUACUUUCAGUUUACCUUAAUGUGCUGGUUUAUUUGAAUAUUAACUGCUAAUGGUUCUAAUGCAAGGAUAUACAGCAAGGGUGAAAGUGGACACCCUUGAAGUGUCCCAUUUUUAAUUUGGAAGCUUUCUGAGAAACAAUUAGGUCCUUUAACCCUAGCUGAUGGAUUCGCAUAUAGGGCCCGUAUUGCAUUCAACAUUCCCAUCCCAAAACCAUAGUUCUCUAGUGUUUUAAACAAACUCCCAUCCAAUCCUAUCAAAUGUCUUUUCGGCAUGUAUCGAUAGGAUUAUCAUGGAAGUUUUUCUUUUUUUCUGCUCCAUCAAUAAUGUCUAUUCUUCUCAUAUGAUUUAUUACAGACCUGCCUGGUAUAAAGCCCACUCGAUCUUUGUCUAUGACAUCAUGUAUUAUAAUUUUUAUUCUUUCUUCCAGAAUUGCUGAAUAUAUUUUAAUGUCGGUAUUAAGUAAUGAGAUUGGUCUGAAAUUAGAUAAAAGUUGUUGGUCUUUAUUCUGUUUGGGAAUAGGGAUGAUGCACGCCCUCAAUAAUUCAUCUGGUGCCUUAGCAUUCUGUUUGAUCUCAUUAAAAGUUUUUGUUAGCUCACUACUAAUGUUAUGUUUAAGCAGUUUUUAGAAUAAGUUACAGAAUUCAUCUGGUCCUGGGGAUUUCUUUUGCUUCAGUGUAUCUAUUGCCUUUAUCACCUCCUCCACUACAAUCAGAGAAUCCAAUUUCUCCUUUUGGAUCUCACUGAUUUUAGGUAAUUGACACUUAUUAAAAUAAUCUUUAGCUACUGGGUUAUAGGUAUUCUCCGUUAAAUUAUAAAGAUUUCAGUAGUAAUUAGCAAAUGCCUCCCCGAUUUUAUCUGGGCAUUGUAUUACUUCCCCCUUUUCUAAUAUUUUAGUUAUUACCCUAUCAGCCUUUUUUUUCCAGCCUUUUUGUAGUUAGUUUGUUUACCCUGUUACCUUUGUAUUACCAUUUACAUUUCAAUUUGCUUUUAGUGUAAGAUGAUUAUUGAUCUCCUUUUCAAUUACACUUAUCUUUUCCAUAAUUACUAAUGAUGGGCUGUUUAUUUUGUAUUCUUAACUCAUAUAUAGGUUAGAUAACUCGUUACCCUUAUUCAUUUGUUUCUCUUGAGCAGAUAAAUUAAUAAACUGGCCUCUGAUUGUGCAUUUGUAAGCACACCAGAUCGUCAUGGGGUCCGUUGAUUGAUUAUUAUCCUGAAAAUCCCACUCUGUCUCUUUCUUUAUAUGUUCAAGGGAGUCCUGAUUACUUAAUAAGUAAUCAUUUCACCUCCACUCUGUUCUUUUCUUCUUAAAAGAAGAUUAUUGGGCAGUGAUUGGACCAGGUAACCUCUUUGAUCAUUAUUUUGUUGGUAUUUCG